GACGAACGCUGGCGGCGUGCUUAACACAUGCAAGUCGAACGGUAAGGCCCUUCGGGGUACACGAGUGGCGAACGGGCGAGUAACACGUGGGUGAUCUGCCCUGCACUUCGGGAUAAGCCUGGGAAACUGGGUCUAAUACCGGAUAGGACCACUGCCUGCAUGGGUGGUGGUGGAAAGCUUUUGCGGUGUGGGAUGGGCCCGCGGCCUAUCAGCUUGUUGGUGGGGUGAUGGCCUACCAAGGCGACGACGGGUAGCCGGCCUGAGAGGGUGACCGGCGACACUGGGACUGAGAUACGGCCCAGACUCCUACGGGAGGCAGCAGUGGGGAAUAUUGCACAAUGGGCGCAAGCCUGAUGCAGCGACGCCGCGUGAGGGAUGACGGCCUUCGGGUUGUAAGCCUCUUUCAGCACCGACGAAGCGCAAGUGACGGUAGGUGCAGAAGGAGGACCGGCCAACUACGUGCCAGCCGCCGCGGUAAAAC
rnacentral:rRNA from 1 species